GGCUCGGUAGCGGAUGGUCCACAUCUGCACUCCAUUUGUGCAUCUCCAGAUUUAAUGCAGACAUUGCCUGUUCGACUCAGGCCCGAGCCA